GGACUCUACAUCGGCUGGUGCUCUGCCGUGCUCGCCAUCGCUGGAGGAGUCUGCCUCAGCUGCUCCUGCAAAAUGGCCAAAAAAGAGAAAUAUCCCGUGACAUAUCAAUCCAGGGGGACGGCGUACUCUGGAGCCGCACCGAGCAGGAGCGCUGCCACCAGCACUUAUGGACGAAACGCUUACGUCUGAGCGCCGUUCGAUAUUUAUGACGCUGUCAUCACCUCAGUUUGUGUUGGGGUAUCCUUUACACUGAGCGUUUUGUUCACAGUUGUGGAUACUUUAAUGGUGCAUCAGUUGUUUACUGUUGGAAGUGACCCAGCACCGCUGCACUGCAAAUACAUGCGUCAGGAUGGGAUGAUUGAAAUGACAGAUACUGUAAACUUUGUACAAAGCUUCCCUGCUCGUCGCCGCACGAAAAGACAGACCUUUUUUAUUGAUUUGGUUUGUUUUUAUUUGUAUCUUUUUGCGUGGCUCAAUUACAUGAAGUCACACGUUUUCAAAGAAAUUCAAAGAUAAAGAUCAUAAACACAGACAGACGUUUUUGAAGUCAAAAGAGGAACAGUUCAGAUAUUAUUUGUGUGAUAUUUUGUACAGUUUGUAAAGCAUGUAUUAGAGAAAGGAGGACGGGUUGUUUUUGUUUAAAUUGUAAUUCUUUGUACUACUGAACUCAAUAAAUGGACAUUGAAUGCUG